rnacentral:rRNA from 1 species
UUGAAAGGGAAACGAUUGAAGUCAGUCGUACCUGUGGGUAAUCAGCCUUUUGGGUGUGAUUAUGUGGAGUGUGAAGAGUUAAACGCCUUUAUGCCUGCAUAUUCGUGCACUUUGGGUGUAUUUACCCGUGUGGUAAGUUAACAUCAAUUUUGGUCGUCAUAGAAUGGCUGGAGGAAUGUAGCUUCGAUCUCGUAUUGAAGUGUUAUAGCUUCGGUAGAUGUGGUGAUCGGGAUUGAGGAUUGCAACGAUACCUUCGGGGCUAACCCGUUAGAUCAAAUUGAUGGUCGAUGGGUUACUCGUUAAGGAUGUUGACGUA